rnacentral:rRNA from 1 species
CGAUCGAGUAGCAAUACUAGAGGCGAACGGGUGAGUAACACGUAUCCAACCUUCCCUUUUGACUGGGAUAACUAAAAGAAAUUUUAGCUAAUACCGGAUGAUAUAUUUAGACGCAUGUCUUUAUAUUAAAAGUUGGGUUUCCAACACAUUAGGAUGGGGAUGCGCCACAUUAGCUAGUUGGUAGGGUAACGGCCUACCAAGGCAACGAUGUGUAGCUAUACUGAGAGGUAGAAUAGCCACAAUGGAACUGAAACACGGUCCAUACUCCUACGGGAGGCAGCAGUAGGGAAUUUUCCACAAUGGGGGCAACCCUGAUGGAGCAACGCCGCGUGAACGAUGAAGGUCUUCGGAUCGUAAAGUUCUUUUAUAAGGGAAGAAUACUAAAAGAAGGAAAUGUUUUUUAGUUGACGGUACUUUAUGAAUAAGUGACGGCAAACUAUGUGCCAGCAGCCGCGGUAAUACAUAGGUCACAAGCGUUAUCCGGAUUUAUUGGGUAUAAAACAAGCGCAGGCUGUCUAACAAGUUUAAAGUGAAAUAACAAGGCUUAACCUUGUUCUGCUUUAAAAACUGUUAGGCUAGAGUAUAUAAGAGAAUGGCGGAACUCCAUGUGUAGCGGUGGAAUGCGUAGAUAUAUGGAAG